rnacentral:rRNA from 1 species
UACGGAGGGUGCAAGCGUUAAUCGGAAUUACUGGGCGUAAAGGGUGCGUAGGCGGUUGUUUAAGUCUGUUGUGAAAUCCCCGGGCUCAACCUGGGAAUGGCAAUGGAUACUGGGCAGCUAGAGUGUGUCAGAGGAUGGUGGAAUUCCCGGUGUAGCGGUGAAAUGCGUAGAGAUCGGGAGGAACAUCAGUGGCGAAGGCGGCCAUCUGGGACAACACUGACGCUGAUCUGCGAAAGCUAGGGGAGCAAACAGG